UUUAGGUAAAUACAUAAAUAAUUAAAAAAUAAUAUCAAAGAAAGUUUUAGACUUCAUUAAUAUUUGUCUACAUGCAAUCUCCUUCAACCAGUCCCGUCUAUUGAUUGGUCUAUAUGUAAUCUGUCUCAUCUCCCAAUAUGCAUGCUGUACAUGUUUGUCUUUGUGGAUAAAUUAAUUAUUUGAUUGGUAAUGGUUUUUGGGUAAACUGACCAAAAGAUCAUAAAAUGUUUUGAGUAGUACAUCCUCAAGCAGCAGACUUGGAAAGAAACAUCAUAGAAUGUUUGAAUAAUUCUUCUCACACAAUAUACUCUUGGACUGAUCUCAUGUGUUGACAUGUUGCAGGACCAUUGAUCUUGAAAAGCUCUUUAUAAUUCAAAAUGCUUAUGUUAACCCUAUUUUAGUGGUCCAGACUCCAGACAGUUGAAUUUAGAUUUCCGUUUCAUUUUGUGUCAGAGUAGUCAUUAUUCUUUUAAUAAUUAUUUUUUUCAUUUGUGUGUUGAAUUUUUUCCAUUCUGGUGGAAGGAGCACCACAUGUAUAUAGGUUGCUCAAUUUUGCAUCUAGCAUGUUUCCAUUUGUCUGUUAACUCUAAUCAAUUUGGUAUGUAUGUUCACUAUUGGUGGUCAAGCAUGGCUUAGAGUUGUAGGUAUCUACACAUCUCCUGAUUUGAUGACUUGUAAUUUUAAUGCAGAUGCCUCAAAAUCUGGUGUUGCUCAAGAGACGAUUCAAAACACAAUCCGUAGAGGAAGCAAAAUCAUGACAGAGCAAGAAGCCCGGCAGAUUCUUGGUGUGACCGAGGAAACUGCAUGGGAGGAGAUAGUGAAGAAAUAUGAGACGCUAUUUGAGAGGAAUGCCAAAAAUGGAAGCUUUUACAUUCAGUCAAAAGUUCACAGGGCUAAAGAAUGUUUAGAGGCUAUGCAUCGAGGCAAAGGCGAGGGUACCGCUAGUUGAGAAUUUUGUGGAGAUCUUCCUUUGCACAUAGAUGUCCUGAAAAAUUACAAAUUGCAUACACAAGUUUGUUUCCUAUCUUCUGAGUUCAAAUAUUAGCCGAAAACUUGAGGUUAUUAAUGGAAGUUUAAAAUUACUAGUUGCAAAAUGAUCCAAAACCAUGUAUGCUACCCAAGCCAUCAGUAUUUGCUAUGAUUUUAUCAAUGAUCAAACUGUGGAUGGGAAGUCAUUAGUCUAACCAUUCUAUUAAAAGGAAUUAGGCUUAUCAAUGUGUCCUCAUUUCUUUUGAACAGAUGUAUUUAGUAAAUCUGUCUUUGUGAAGAAGGUGGUUGAUAUUGGUAUACAGCUCCCCUCGGGAUUCUUUUAGGGCAGAAAGGAAACUUUAUGAGAGUGGCUUUGCUUUUGCAUGCACUCAUCUUUUCCUUCUUUUUGUAAACCUGUUGUCAUCAUUUCAUGAUUUAAGCAUGUUUUCAGCACA
rnacentral:misc_RNA from 1 species